rnacentral:rRNA from 1 species
CCUACGGGUGGCAGCAGUGAGGAAUAUUGGUCAAUGGGCGUAAGCCUGAACCAGCCAAGUCGCGUGAGGGAUGAAGGUUCUAUGGAUCGUAAACCUCUUUUAUAAGGGAAUAAAGUGUGGGACGUGUCCUGUUUUGUAUGUACCUUAUGAUUAAGGAUCGGCUAACACCGUGCCAGCAGCCGCGGUAAUACGGAGGAUCCGAGCGUUAUCCGGAUUUAUUGGGUUUAAGGGGUGCGUAGGGGGCCUUUUAAGUAAGCGGUGAAAGUCUGUGGCUCAACCAUAGAAUUGCCGUUGAAACUGGGAGGCUUGAGUAUGUUUGAGGCAGGCGGAAUGCGUGGUGUAGCGGUGAAAUGCUUAGAUAUCACGCAGAACCCCGAUUGCGAAGGCAGCCUGCCAAGCCAUGACUGACGCUGAUGCACGAAAGCGUGGGGAUCAAACAGGAUUAGAUACCCUAGUAGUC